UGCAGUGAACUUGGUAAUGGAUAAAAUCGCUAAUCGACCGAGAGGUUUUGCAUUCAUUCGCUAUGCUACGCAGGAGGAAUCUCAGAAAGCCAUUGAGGGGAUGCAUGGCAAGUUCCUGGAUGGCAGGGUAAUAUUUGUUGAAUUUGCUAAAAGUAAAUCAGAGCUUCGCCAAAGCCUCAAGCAAAAGCCAAAAUUGACUUGAUGGGUAAGAUAUAUGAUCACACUGGAUUAGGCCCCAAAGCCCUGAAUCUUUUUGAAGAAACGUCUCGGAAGACUGGCUGAACCUGUGUGUUUACAACUACCAACCUGCAGUCAAAUUCAACUAGCAACAUCGUUUAAGAAUCCCCAAAUAAUGGAAGAUGUGAAUGAUAUCUAAGCCAGCUAUUUGAGAUGUAAGCUGCGAUUCCUGGCCAUGUCUACUCUUAGCAAUCUGAAUGUCAUUUUACCACGUUCCACAUGGUGAAUUGGUUGUAUGUGGGUAGAAGAGCAAAAGGGAAUCAUCAAAUUUCUCUCCAGACAAGCAUUUACAAAGUUGAAAUAAACACUAGAAUUUGCUGGAGUCCAGGCAAGGUUUUAUAUGUGAUCAUACACGUUCUUCUCUGUCUCCCUAAUCGAGUAAUUUUGAUGUUUAUACAUGCUGUACCAGUCAGUUUAACAGUUUCCCUUGAUAGAAUUCAAUUACAGCAAAGCGGAUGUAGCGAAUUUAAAUA